GAUGAACGCUGGCGGCGUGCCUAAUACAUGCAAGUCGAGCAAACAGAUGAGGAGCUUGCUCCUCUGACGUUAGCGGCGGACGGGUGAGUAACACGUGGAUAACCUACCUAUAAGACUGGGAUAACUUCGGGAAACCGGAGCUAAUACCGGAUAAUAUAUUGAACCGCAUGGUUCAAUAGUGAAAGACGGUUUUGCUGUCACUUAUAGAUGGAUCCGCGCCGCAUUAGCUAGUUGGUAAGGUAACGGCUUACCAAGGCAACGAUGCGUAGCCGACCUGAGAGGGUGAUCGGCCACACUGGAACUGAGACACGGUCCAGACUCCUACGGGAGGCAGCAGUAGGGAAUCUUCCGCAAUGGGCGAAAGCCUGACGGAGCAACGCCGCGUGAGUGAUGAAGGUCUUCGGAUCGUAAAACUCUGUUAUUAGGGAAGAACAAAUGUGUAAGUAACUAUGCACGUCUUGACGGUACCUAAUCAGAAAGCCACGGCUAACUACGUG
rnacentral:rRNA from 1 species